UGUACGCACACACAACCACACAUGCGCGCACGCAUGCAUUCAGUUCGCACGCGCAUGCACACACACGCACGCACACACUCACAUACACGCCUUUGUCCUUUCUAAAACUUCCCAGAGCAAACAGGUCCUCCCUUAUCAUUAGAAAGGAGAACAAUGCACCCUGGUUUGUUAAAGGAGAAAGCUCUUGGCAUUCUCACUUUGUAAUUUGCUGUUUCCUUUCAAGCUCAGCCUCUGGGAGGCUUUUCAUUCUGUUUUGUGUCUCGUUUACCAUUCCCGUUCAGUUUCAUUUUAUUUCUUAAAUGGACAUCCUCACCAAAACCACCACCACCAACAAAAUCACUACCAAUG
rnacentral:lncRNA from 10 species